AGCAAGGCAGGCUAUAGUCCAUGGCGUCAUAAAAGAGUCAGACACAACUUAGCGACUAAAGAAUAACAGCAAAUCUAGGAAGACAUUGUCUGAACACAUCUGCAGAGACCCUAUUUCCAAAUAGGACCCCAUUCACAGGUAUGGGGUUAGGACGUUGACAUAUCUUUUGGCAGGAGACACAAUUUAAUCUACCAGAGAAGGGGUCCCCUUGCCCCUCUGCAGGUGAUCAUAGAGCAUGGACAUGUCACAAACAUUCAGAGCUGAGGAGAAAACAUCCUCUCCAGUUUGAGUGGAUUCUUUACCAUCUGAGCCACCAGGAAAGCCCUGCAAGCUAUGCAAUGCAGCCAAAAAAAAAAAAAAAAAAAGAAAGAAGGAGAGAGAGAAGCUGGACGCACAGCAUUUCCUCCAUCCUGGAAACAGCACCGCCCCAUCACUGUUAUCGCCUCUGUCCUUUCAGAUUUUCAUAUCUGAGUGCCCAUCUGGUUCCUUCCUUGGGAUUCUAAGACAUCUGGGGGCCUGUGCUGGAAGAGACUUGAUGAUGCUGAGUGCCUGUUAUACCCUUGAGUUGUGCUAAGCCCUUUCCCGUAUGCUCUCUCAUAGAAUCCCUCACAAAACCCUGCCAGGUUGGAAUUAUUAUUAUUCCUCUUACAAAAAUGAGAAAAGAGAAGCUCACAGAGGCUGAGUUACUUGGCCACAGUCACAGAGAUGGGAAGUGGCAGUUCCUGAAUUUGUAUCAGGACACUGACACCACCAAGGGGUGGUUUGGGAGGGUUUCUGUCCAGCUAUCAUCUUCAGUAGCCACUGAUCCCCAAAGCCCUCCCUGGCACAAAUAAACACACGAUCUAAGUAAGACACGCAUGCAGGGGACAAAAUCAAACUUUGAUAUGUCUUGCCUUGCUGGCCAUCUCCCUUUGAAUGAGACUGCUCCCCAAGCCCUAUCUAGAGUCCGUGCUGAAUCAAGAUCUGUCUGGCUCCAAACCCAUCUUCUUCCCAACAUAACCAGGACGCCUGAUCUUUUAGAUUCCUACCAAGAAGGCUUUUGUUUUCUCGAAAACUUUUCCCAGAAGAGCCAAUCAAUCAGUGGAAGAUUCUCCUAAUGGAGCCUGGUUUCCACUUUUCACCAGCUUGCCCAUUAAAUGCUUCCCAGGGUACCUGAUACAUUGCUUCCUGGUGGGUUAGCA